GAUACCUUCAGGGCGUCUAAGAUUAUGCAGCAGAGAGCGUUGUCGAACCCUAAGAUUGAAGUGAUUUGGAACUCUUCGGUGGUGGAGGCGUACGGAGAUGAGAACGGGAAAGGCGUUCUUGGGGGUUUGAAGGUGAAGAAUGUUGUCACUGGUGAUGUGUCGGAUUUGAAGGUGUCGGGAUUGUUCUUUGCGAUAGGGCAUGAGCCGGCGACGAAGUUCUUGGAUGGGCAGCUUGAGGUUGAUGAAGAUGGUUAUGUGGUGACUAAGCCUGGUACUACUAAGACGAGUGUGGUUGGUGUGUUUGCUGCUGGAGAUGUUCAAGAUAAGAAGUAUAGGCAGGCUAUUACAGCUGCAGGAACUGGUUCGUUCUUUGCUUCUCUUUUUACCCUUUGAAAUCAUUACUGAAAUGUAUCAUAGAAGCAGCAUCUGAUAUGCUGUGUGUGCUGUUAUCUAUUAGCAUAAUGUAUUUGAUAGUUAGGUGUUGAAAGUCAUUAGCUUUUUAUGAUGGGCCCUUUAAGUUCUCAAAGUGACUUUUUGUAUAUCAUUUGAUUUACUUAACAAAGAGUAGGGUAGGCAUGAUUUGUGUUUCCUAUAGAGUGGUUCAUUUUUUGGCGUUAGAAGCUUCUCAACUAUUCUCAUACACUGAGAAGACACUGUAAUGGUCAUUAGUUGAUCUAGGUAAGAUGUCUUGAGAGCCUGCAAGUUAAAAUUAGACUAUUUCAGGUAUCGAUAUAAAGUUUUUUCAUCUUGCUACAAGAAGAACCAGGCAUAUUUAGCUAUCUUCACUGCUGACGAGCAAGUUGAAAUCAUAUUGUUUCCGUCAAACCCAGUUUUUGGAUACCUUUUUAGACAGUGAUUUUAUCUUUUUAAUUUCCACUUUCAUAUGCAACACUGAUCACAACUUACGGAUUGGUGCAGGGUGUAUGGCGGCCUUGGACGCAGAGCAUUACUUACAGGAGAUUGGAUCUCAGGAGGGUAAAAGUGAUUAGAGAAGGUGUCGGUGAAGGACCCAUUUAUAAGCUUCUCUCUAUUAUUUGCAGUGUCAUUUGCAGAACUGUGGAAAAGAUAAUCUUAAUGAGGGAGUAUGAGUAGUAGAGUUGUAAGCGUUUGCAGUUGAACUUGAUUCUGGAGUUUGUGCCAAGUUGUAACUCUUUAGUGGGUCACAGAUUUGAGCAAUCUGCUCUUCAUUUGUUCCUCAGGACCUCAUGUGAUUUUAUCUGAUAUGAUUAUGUAAACUCAGUUUGAGUUGAACCGACUGGAUUUGGAAUCUCUAUAGCUUUUUUUUUUUUUUUUCCUUGUCAGCAAACAAAGCAAAAUGGAUUUCUAGAAACUAAAAUGGAUUUCUAGAAAUAUUGGUCAAUUAUUUAGAGAAAACGAUAAAAAUAAUAUUGUUUUGAAUCUACACCACUUCAAAUUUAAUUAUAACAUUUAGACAUAGUUUGCCUUUUUAUUGCAUUUCAAAAUUCAUAUUUUAAAAAUAUUUGGGGUUAUUAGUUUUAUGAUUUUCAAAUCUGUAUUAAAAUCAUAUGUUAUUGGUUUAAUGAUUCAUAAAUUAUAUAUUAAAUCAAGUGUUAUUCAAUUGUACAUAUUUACUAAUGAAUUUGAUUUUAUAAUGAAUUUGAAUGAAUUUUUUUGUGAAAAAUACAAAGACUCAAAUCCGAAAAAAUUUAAAAAUCUGCAUAUUUUACUUAGAUUUAUAAAUAUUACAUGGAUUUCUAAAUCAAUCAAAAUAUAUAAACCAAUAACACAUAAAUAAUUAUUUCUUAUCAAAAUUAAAGAAGAUUAUUUUUAUUAUUUAACAAUUUACCUUAUCUUAAUAAUAUUUAUAUUUUGUAAAAGUUAUUUUAAAACAUAUAUCAUUAUUUUAAGACAUUUAUAAAAUAUUACUCCCUCCAGUUCAUAUUACAGUAAAUGUCGUUUAGAAUUUUGGUGCAAAAUUUAUUAAUUUUAAAUGUUGUAUGACUAUAUAUUCUAUAGUUUAUUUUUCUAUUGAUUAAAAUAUAGUUAAGUGUAUAGUUAAUAAUUUUUUAUUUAGAAAACAAUAUAAAAUUAUAAAUUUUCUUAAUUUGUGUGUACAAAUUUAAAAUAUUUUUUUUUAAAAUGUAAUUACGAGAAGAGAAAGAGAGCGUCGAAAUCACGGUUGAUUAAGUUACUUAGAUAACCUGCUUUGAUUUAGCUUGUUUUUGGAUGGGUGAAUAUUAUCCAAGUUUAAUAUGCAAAAUAUUGAAUUUCUCAAUUAACCUCUUUUUAAUUUUUAAAAUAAAGAAACUCAAAAUUUAUAAUAUAAGAGGACAUUUGAGAUCUUUUAUUUUAGAUUUAUGGAAAGAUCAUUUCUCAUUAAAAAAAUUCUCUAUUUGGCUUAGCCAUUCGGACUCGGUUCGGCUAAUUCAAAAUUUCAGUUUUUGGUAUUAGAUCGGCUUCAGUUUAAUAUUUUUUUCAGUUUAUAAACAAUAUUUGAAAUCGUCUAAAACUUUUAAAAGAAAACUAAAAAAAAUAACAAGUAAAAAUAUCAAAAUCUUAAAAUAUUCUAAAAUAUCUAAAUUAGUUUAACAUAUAUAAAAAUAAUACGUUUAAUUAAUUUCAAAUAUUUUUAGAUUAUUUUAGUUCAAUUCAUAGCUCUUAAGACCCGUUCCAAUAAUUUUCUGUAACGAUUCCCAUCAGAUUUCAUGGUUCGGGUUAAGGUCGGGACAACCGUUUAGGGUAAAAACUCACAGGCUUAACCUUUACUAAAACAGAGCGAGCAGGAGGAGGCUUUCUACUCGGAUCUGCUCUCUCCACCCCGUCCUCCGCCGUCAUGGAAACUCACAAGACCAAGGUCUGCAUCGUCGGAAGCGGUCCCGCAGCCCACACUGCAGCGAUCUACGCAGCUAGAGCGGAGCUCGCGCCUCUCCUCUUCGAAGGGUGGAUGGCUAACGACAUCGCCCCCGGCGGUCAAUUAACCACCACCACCGACGUCGAGAACUUUCCCGGCUUCCCCGACGGUAUCCUCGGCAUCGACCUCGUCGCGAAGCUCCGUAAGCAAUCGGAGCGAUUCGGCGCCAAGAUCUUCACGGAGACUGUCAACAAAGUCGAUUUCUCCUCGAAGCCGUUUAAGCUUUUCACCAAUACGAGAACCGUCCUCGCCGAGGCCGUGAUCGUCUCCACGGGAGCUGUGGCGAAGCGCCUCAGCUUCCCUGGAUCUGGUGAAGGCGCCGGUGGUUUCUGGAACCGAGGUAUCUCGGCGUGCGCCGUGUGCGACGGAGCUGCUCCGAUUUUUAGGGACAAGCCUCUGGUGGUUAUCGGCGGCGGCGAUUCGGCUAUGGAGGAGGCGAAUUUUCUGACUAGGUAUGGUUCUAAGGUUUAUAUAAUCCACAGGAGAGACAAGUUCAGGGCGUCUAAGAUCAUGCAGAAGAGAGCGUUGUCGAACCCUAAGAUUGAAGUGAUUUUGAACGGUUCGGUGGUUGAGGCGUAUGGAGAUGAGAGUGGGAAAGGCGUUCUUGGGGGUUUGAAGGUGAAGAAUGUUGUUAAUGGUGCUGUGUCUGAUUUGAAGGCUUCUGGAUUGUUCUUUGCGAUUGGGCAUGAGCCAGCGACGAAGUUCUUGGAUGGGCAGGUUGAGCUUGAUGAAGAUGGUUAUGUGGUGACUAAACCUGGUACUACUAAGACUAGCGUGGCUGGUGUGUUUGCUGCUGGUGAUGUUCAAGAUAAGAAGUACAGGCAGGCCGUCACAGCUGCAGGAACUGGUAUGAGUUAGCGUUUAGAAAUCAAGAAUGCUGUGUGCUUGUUAUAUCCUAACAUAAUGUUCUAAGUAGUAUUUGGUACUUAGGUGUUUGAAUGUCAUUAGCUUUUUCUCUGAUGUGCCAUGUCAUGUUCUCCUUGUAUCGUUUCACUUAACAAAAUGGUUUUGUGUUUGCUAAAGAGUGG
rnacentral:lncRNA from 1 species